AGACCCGAAACCCGGUGAUCUAGCCAUGGGCAGGUUGAAGGUUGGGUAACACUAACUGGAGGACCGAACCGACUAAUGUUGAAAAAUUAGCGGAUGACCUGUGGCUGGGGGUGAAAGGCCAAUCAAACCGGGAGAUAGCUGGUUCUCCCCGAAAGCUAUUUAGGUAGCGCCUCGUGAAUUCAUCUCCGGGGGUAGAGCACUGUUUCGGCUAGGGGGCCAUCCCGGCUUACCAACCCGAUGCAAACUGCGAAUACCGGAGAAUGUUAUCACGGGAGACACACGGCGGGUGCUAACGUCCGUCGUGAAGAGGGAAACAACCCAGACCGCCAGCUAAGGUCCCAAAGUCAUGGUUAAGUGGGAAACGAUGUGGGAAGGCCCAGACAGCCAGGAUGUUGGCUUAGAAGCAGCCAUCAUUUAAAGAAAGCGUAAUAGCUCACUGGUCGAGUCGGCCUGCGCGGAAGAUGUAACGGGGCUAAA
rnacentral:rRNA from 5 species